rnacentral:lncRNA from 1 species
CAAACUGUUCCCUUGCUUUUUCCAGCUUCAAGAGAUGCCUUCCUUUCUUGUUGCAUGCCCUCCCCCCAUUGCUUCAGGGGGUGCUUAUAUCUUGGCAUGCCCUUCUCUGACUCUGGCUCAUUUCUUCCCUCUCAUAAGGAUACCUGUAAUUACAUUGGCGCAUGCAGAUAAUCCAAGAUUAUCUUCCCAUCUCAAAAUCCUUCACAAUCACAUUUUCAAAGUACCUUUUGCCAUGUGAGGUGUAUAGUCACAGGUUUUAAGGAUUAAGAUGCGG